rnacentral:rRNA from 1 species
GAUGAACGCUGGCGGCGUGCCUAAUACAUGCAAGUAGAACGCUGAAGCUUGGUGCUUGCACCGAGCGGAUGAGUUGCGAACGGGUGAGUAACGCGUAGGUAACCUGCCUCUUAGCGGGGGAUAACUAUUGGAAACGAUAGCUAAUACCGCAUAAAAGACGAUAUCGCAUGAUAUUGAUUUGAAAGGUGCAAAUGCAUCACUAUGAGAUGGACCUGCGUUGUAUUAGCUAGUUGGUGAGGUAACGGCUCACCAAGGCAACGAUACAUAGCCGACCUGAGAGGGUGAUCGGCCACACUGGGACUGAGACACGGCCCAGACUCCUACGGGAGGCAGCAGUAGGGAAUCUUCGGCAAUGGGGGCAACCCUGACCGAGCAACGCCGCGUGAGUGAAGAAGGUUUUCGGAUCGUAAAGCUCUGUUGUAAGAGAAGAACGAGUGUGAGAGUGGAAAGUUCACACUGUGACGGUAACUUACCAGAAAGGGACGGCUAACUACGUGCCAGCAGCCGCGGUAAUACGUAGGUCCCGAGCGUUAUCCGGAUUUAUUGGGCGUAAAGCGAGCGCAGGCGGUUAGAUAAGUCUGAAGUUAAAGGCUGUGGCUUAACCAUAGUACGCUUUGGAAACUGUUUAACUUGAGUGCAGAAGGGGAGAGUGGAAUUCCAUGUGUAGCGGUGAAAUGCGUAGAUAUAUGGAGGAGCACCGGUGGCGAAAGCGGCUCUCUGGUCUGUAACUGACGCUGAGGCUCGAAAGCGUG